GUGUCAGCAGCCGCGGUAAUACGUGGGGUGCAAACGUUGCUCGGAAUCAUUGGGCGUAAAGCGCACGUAGGCGGCGCAGCAAGUUGGAUGUGAAAGCCCUCGGCUUAACCGAGGAAGUGCAUUCAAAACUACUGGGCUUGAGUACAAAAGAGGAUCGCGGAAUUCCCGGUGUAGAGGUGAAAUUCGUAGAUAUCGGGAGGAACACCAGCGGCGAAGGCGGCGAUCUGGGUUGAUACUGACGCUGAUGUGCGAAAGCGUGGGGAGCAAACAGGAUUAGAAACCCUCGUAGUCC
rnacentral:rRNA from 1 species